rnacentral:rRNA from 1 species
GCAAGUCGAGGGGCAGCAUAGCUUAGCUUGCUAAGGCCGAUGGCGACCGGCGCACGGGUGAGUAACACGUAUCCAACCUGCCGUCUACUCUUGGACAGCCUUCUGAAAGGAAGAUUAAUACAAGAUGGCAUCAUGAGUCCGCAUGUUCACAUGAUUAAAGGUAUUCCGGUAGACGAUGGGGAUGCGUUCCAUUAGCUUGUUGGCGGGGUAACGGCCCACCAAGGCGACGAUCAGUAGGGGUUCUGAGAGGAAGGUCCCCCACAUUGGAACUGAGACACGGUCCAAACUCCUACGGGAGGCAGCAGUGAGGAAUAUUGGUCAAUGGGCGAGAGCCUGAACCAGCCAAGUAGCGUGCAGGAUGACGGCCCUAUGGGUUGUAAACUGCUUUUAUAAGGGAAUAAAGUGGGAGUCGUGACUCUUUUUGCAUGUACCUUAUGAAUAAGGACCGGCUAAUUCCGUG